UAGCGGGGGAUAACUAUUGGAAACGAUAGCUAAUACCGCAUAACAAUGGAUGACCCAUGUCAUUUAUUUGAAAGGGGCAAAUGCUCCACUACAAGAUGGACCUGCGUUGUAUUAGCUAGUAGGUGAGGUAACGGCUCACCUAGGCGACGAUACAUAGCCGACCUGAGAGGGUGAUCGGCCACACUGGGACUGAGACACGGCCCAGACUCCUACGGGAGGCAGCAGUAGGGAAUCUUCGGCAAUGGGGGCAACCCUGACCGAGCAACGCCGCGUGAGUGAAGAAGGUUUUCGGAUCGUAAAGCUCUGUUGUAAGUCAAGAACGAGUGUGAGAGUGGAAAGUUCACACUGUGACGGUAGCUUACCAGAAAGGGACGGCUAACUACGUGCCAGCAGCCGCGGUAAUACGUAGGUCCCGAGCGUUGUCCGGAUUUAUUGGGCGUAAAGCGAGCGCAGGCGGUUUGAUAAGUCUGAAGUUAAAGGCUGUGGCUCAACCAUAGUUCGCUUUGGAAACUGUCAAACUUGAGUGCAGAAGGGGAGAGUGGAAUUCCAUGUGUAGCGGUGAAAUGCGUAGAUAUAUGGAGGAA
rnacentral:rRNA from 1 species